ensembl:ncRNA lncRNA:CR44941 long non-coding RNA:CR44941
CCAGCACCCACUUCUCCCACUGAUGGUGGCUAAAUUUGCAUUUUAACUCAAUAAAUUCACUUUGCAUGCUGCAGAGACUCGACUGACUGGCUGGUUGGCUGGCAAAGGCAGCGAAACGGUGUUGUGCUCUAUAAAUCUGUUAGAGUCUAACGACUACAAGCUUCUGACUGGAAGGGAAAGAAGACGGCUUGGUAAUACAGCCCGCGGCAGCUAAGUCAUUUCCCAGCUACUGAUUUGCUGCCUUCGAGUGGAUCCACGAAUCCAUCGCCGGCUUAUGGGAUUACAGCAAGUAUACAUUUCCAAGACAGUAUAUGGUAUGAUCUGAAACUGGAGCGUUGCACGAUGAUGCCAAAGACUGAGCUCGGAGGACAGACCCCAUCUGCUCCCCAAAGAAACCCCCUCUUGUAAUGAGCGACCCAAUUAGGCAAAGUGAGUGGCGGUGAGCGAGAUGCAUAUGAACCACAGAACAAUUGAACAAUGUGCAGCCAGCAAUUAACCAAGAAACCUGCCACACCAGCCAGGCAUCAUAGAAGGCCAUAAAAAGAUGAUACCUCGUGGAGGCAGGGAAAAUCCAUUUCGUUAUGCGAAGGAAAAGGCGUGAAAAGCGAGCGCUUGACUUCAUAAUUGAUAUCAUAAACGUUUAUUUAUUUUCAGAAAAACAUAUGGGGAAGAAAGUCAAGAGACGAAGUCUUC